rnacentral:rRNA from 1 species
AGUGAACGCUGGCGGUAGGCCUAACACAUGCAAGUCGAGCGGCAGCACAGUAAGAGCUUGCUCUUACGGGUGGCGAGUGGCGGACGGGUGAGGAAUACAUCGGAAUCUACUUUUUCGUGGGGGAUAACGUAGGGAAACUUACGCUAAUACCGCAUACGACCUACGGGUGAAAGCAGGGGAUCUUCGGACCUUGCGCGAUUGAAUGAGCCGAUGUCGGAUUAGCUAGUUGGCGGGGUAAAGGCCCACCAAGGCGGCGAUCCGUAGCUGGUCUGAGAGGAUGAUCAGCCACACUGGAACUGGGACACGGUCCAGACUCCUACGGGAGGCAGCAGUGGGGAAUAUUGGACAAUGGGCGCAAGCCUGAUCCAGCCAUACCGCGUGGGUGAAGAAGGCCUUCGGGUUGUAAAGCCCUUUUGUUGGGAAAGAAAAGCAGCAGGUUAAUACCCCGCUGUUCUGACGGUACCCAAAGAAUAAGCACCGGCUAACUUCGUG